GAUGAACGCUGGCGGCGUGCUUAACACAUGCAAGUCGAACGAAGCACCUUGAUUCGAUUCUUCGGAUGAAGAUCUUGGUGACUGAGUGGCGGACGGGUGAGUAACGCGUGGGUAACCUGCCUCAUACAGGGGGAUAACAGUUAGAAAUGACUGCUAAUACCGCAUAAGACCACAGCACCGCAUGGUGCAGGGGUAAAAACUCCGGUGGUAUGAGAUGGACCCGCGUCUGAUUAGGUAGUUGGUGGGGUAACGGCCUACCAAGGCGACGAUGAGUAGCCGAGCUGAGAGGGUGACCGGCCACAUUGGGACUGAGACACGGCCCAAACUCCUACGGGAGGCAGCAGUAGGGAAUAUUGCACAAUGGGGGAAACCCUGAUGCAGCGACGCCGCGUGAGAGAUGAAGUAUUUCGGUAUGUAAAGCUCUAUCAGCAGGGAAGAAAAUGACGGUACCUGACAAAGAAGCACCGGCUAAAUACGUG
rnacentral:rRNA from 1 species